UACGUAGGUGGCAAGCGUUGUCCGGAUUUACUGGGCGUAAAGAGCGGGCAGGCGGUCGUGCAAGUCGCGUGUGAAAGCCCCCGGCUCAACUGGGGAGGGUCACGCGAUACUGCUCGACUCGAAGGCAGGAGAGGGAAGUGGAAUUCCCGGUGUAGUGGUGAAAUGCGUAGAUAUCGGGAGGAACACCAGUGGCGAAGGCGACUUCCUGGCCUGUUCUUGACGCUGAGGCGCGAAAGCUAGGGUAGCAAACGGG
rnacentral:rRNA from 1 species